AAUGAACGUUGGCGGCGUGGAUUAGGCGUGCAAGUCGUGCGCGAAUCGUAGCAAUACGAGGAGAGCGGCGAAAGGGAGAGGAUAGCAUAGAUACCUACCCUCGGACCUGGGAUAGCUAUGGGAAACUAUAGGUAAUACCAGAUAAUGUCUCCGGACCAAAGGUGUGAUUCCGUCCGGGGAGGGGUCUAUGUCCUAUUAGCUUGUUGGUGAGGUAACGGCUCACCAAGGCAAAGAUGGGUGCGAGGCGUGAGAGCGUGUCCUCGCUCCCUGGGACGUGGAUACUGCCCAGACACCUACGGGUGGCUGCAGUCGAGAAUCUUCGGCAAUGGGCGCAAGCCUGACCGAGCGACGCCGCGUGUGGGAUGAAGGCCUUCGGGUUGUAAACCACUGUCAGUGCGGAGGAAAUAUAGUGGGGUUCUCCCCAUUAUUUGACCUAUGCGCAGAGGAAGGACGGGCUAAGUUCGUGCCAGCAGCCGCAGUAA
rnacentral:rRNA from 1 species